AGCAACAGACUCCAGGUCCGAUUGCAUUGUUCCCGGCAUCGAACGAGGUCGCGGAGGAGUUCGCUCUCUACCAGGCAGGACAGGUCCGCUUUCGAGGCCUGCGACUGCUGCUGUCUUCGAUACAGGGCUUGCCAGGCGACUGCCUGCAGGCACAGCGCUGCGAGGUGUCGGCGUACGCGCUGCACGGCUGCGGGCUCGUUCGUCAUCGGCAGCGGCUGCCCCAGUGGCGAACGCUCGGAGAUGGUGGCAGCGCUACCGGCACCAGCACCACGAUGGCGCUGGUGCUGUACACGGCUUGCCAGCAUGCUCCAGUAGAGUAGCAUGAAGCGCUGGAGGCGUUUCUGCUUGCGUUGCAGUUCUGCGAUAAGCUGAUAGGCGCGAGUGCGUUCACGGCGUAGUGAAUCCUCCAAACCGGUGACUCGACCUUGUAAAGUCGCCAAGAGCUGGGAAGACUCCGAGUCCGUCGACGUUCGCAAUGUGUGCGCUUCUAGCUCUGCAGUGUUUUCGGUGUGAAGCGCUUUUUUCUGAACGCUUUGCAGCCGGUACAUCAGCAGCCAGAUACGUGCGACAAACAAGGCCGUUGUGGUAGCCUCCGUGGUCUCGAGUGGCGUCGAUAUGCCUUCGGCGUCCGCGAGUACACUAUGCGUUGUCGUCGGUGAGAAGCUGCCCGGCUUCAUGGGUGAGUUCAGCACCGAUGACCCGCGUUCCACGGCAUGGCGAAGACAGAGCGGUAGGAUCUUCUCAAGGGCGUUGAUGGCUCGCACCAGCGCUGCGUGGUGCUGGAUCACCAGGUUCGCAAUGGUUUGGCGCAUGCUUUCAUCGUUUUCGACCUCGAGCUGCUGUGCAUAGCGUCGCAGCUGACUCUCUGCGUCUUCGUAGGCAGCUCUGGCUUCGGCGAGCUCGAAGCGUUCCACCGCACCAGGCUCUUCGUCGACGUUCUUCUGAUGUGCUUUGAAUGUUCGUUUGACGUCCUUGUAGUGGAGCUUUUUCUGACGAAAUUCGCCGUAGCAGUAGGAUUUGGUGAAAUUUCGUCGAGGUUUGAUCAUGUUGAGCUCUACGGCUCGGCUGAAGGCCGAGAAUGCAUCGUGGACAUCGCGUUCGGUGCGUCCGACAGUUACGAGGACUUCGCGCAGCUCCCGCGAGAACAGGUACUUGUCUACAGUCUCCUGACUCAGUUCUUCUUCGGAGAUGACUUCACCUCGAGCGCGCAGGAGGCGAGCAACAUCGAUGAGCGACUCGGAGCACUGGCGUCCGUGCUCGACCAUGGCCACCAGGUCGCUGUUGUAGCGCGCAUAGUUCCGUGCUAAUAGGUCGUUGGCCCGACGCACGUCCUUCAACGUUAGCAGUUCCAGACGAAGUUCGUGGUCAUCCUCAUAGACGUCCUCGAGAUGAAGGCGCUCACGUAUACGAAUGCCGAGUUUUGCGCUCGAGAACAGCAGCUUACGAGCCGCCAUUUCAACGGGCGUAUACAGGUGCAGCGCGUCUCUGAGAGGACGCUGAACGUAUUUAGAAGCGAUCUACGUAAACAAGCGGCUAG